CCCGGCAAGACAAGGAGCCAGGGCAGGCAACAGGGGCGGCGGCACGCAGGCCCGCGCACACAGGUGGCGGCGGCGGAGCGUAGACAUUCUUGUUCUCGGGUUUACUGCGCUGGUUUGGAGCUUUGUCAACACGCUUCGGUUGAAUCUCAUCUGUACCAAGGUUCCAACUGCUAAAGUAUUCUCAUCUCCUUUGUGAUUUGGAUCUACUAUAAUUAAUCAGGUUCCAGCUGCUGAAGUAUUCUUAUCUCGUUUGUGACUUGGCUCCAGUUUAAAUAUUUAGGCUAUAGCUUUUACCUCCUCAAGAACUCCUCUCCUCCAGUGUGAACUCGGCAUGCAACACUGAGAAGCUAGCAUCUUCGCUCACAAUUCAAAAUCAGCAACCAGGUACACACAGUUCGACAAAGUUGCAAUUCCUAAUUCAAAAGGAAAACUAAGAAACCUUCUAUUAAUAUUCUCAGAUCUGAUAUUUCAGCUGAACUAUAUGUUUGCUUGGCUUUCUAAACAGUUUUUAUCUUUCCCCUCUCUUAGAUUACCUCUAACAAGCAUGUUGGUGCUCUUCUGUUACUUGAGUUAUUGUAAAUUGUAAUAUCUGUAUAUUAUCAUAUUAUUUCU